GGGGCAGUAGCUCAGUGGUAGAGCAGGUAGUUUUGAAAUUAUCAAUCAAAAGGUCAAUCAAAAUUUACUUCUUACACUUUUAAUGUCCGUGUCGUGGGUUCGAAUCCCACCUGCUCCACAA
rnacentral:tRNA from 1 species